UUUCCAGACGAGUCACAGACAUGAUGAGUCUGUCACCGAGAGUCACAGGCAUGAUGAGUCUGUCACAGAGAGCCACAGGCAUGAUGGAGGAAGGGAACAGACAGAGACCUGCUCUGAAGAUGAACUGGUUCACCCUCAGUUAUGAGAGAGGAUGAUUCCUCCUCAUUACUUACCAGUGAAAUUGAAGAGGUGAGCACUGGUGAAGAAUCAUUUGUGUGUGUGACACUGAUGAUAUCGACACCACGCCGAAGUCCACUGCUACAAGGAGCCCAGUCUCAGUCACAGCCAUGAGAAGUCAAGCCUCACCUACUACUUCAGAGAGUGGCUCCUCACUUUUAGCUGGAGAAGAUAGUAGCUGGCAUUACAGCUUUGAAAUACCCUGGAAUAAGAUGCCCUCAAAUACAAGAAGGGUGUUGGAUACUGAGAAGAGACUGACUGCAGCAGAGAGAAGGGAGAUUAUUAGGAUUGUCACUGCUGAAAUACUGACUGUAUGCAAGAAACCUGGAAAGAGGCACAUCACUGAAAUUUCAAGGGAAAUGGUAAUUCACUCCCCAAAAUCCUUCCGAGAUGAGAUUGAGGGCCAGGUUGUCGGCACUGGGCAUGACUCACUUGUGAAACAGUUCAUAUCUCGGAUUGAUAACUAUAGACGACUCCAAGCUCCUGCCCAGAAAAGGCUUUCUGAAAGUGACACUCCUGACAAUGCAAAAAAAGCAUGCAAAGAUGCAUAUGGCUGCAUUAAUCCUGACCCAGAGCUUCCUGCUGGUGAAACAAAAGAUAAGCAAAAACAAGAACUAAUGAUGUUCAAAGACAAAGAUGCAAAGAAAAUAGAAAGACUGAUGGUUGAUGUUUCCCUCACAGAGGAGAGACAUACUGUCAGGACUGAAGGAGACAGAAGAGAUCCUUAAGGAAUGGCCUUUCCUCUGCCAGGAAAUUGGAAUGAGGCUUCAUUUCAGAGAACUAACAGGUGUCCAGAUUGAUGACAGCUUUGAAGAGUCCACAGCCACCAAGUUCAGAAGAAUCCUGCAGUAUUUUCAGUUUAUUCAAACUGAGCCGUCCAGCAGAGCAGGCACUAUUCUGAACCAAGCCCUGGCAGGAGGUGAUGAAACUUGUGCAGCUGUACUGAUGCUUCUUGUCCAUUUUAAAGAGCAGGAAGACAAGAUGUUAGUAAAUGUCGAUGACGCCGCCAUUGCGACUGAUGUGGACACCACCAGGCUACCAUGGACACCCUGCAUUGUGGUCUGUGGUAAUAGCCCACUCACUGCCAAGAUGUUCAUGGUUGCUGUGGACCAGGUCAUAGUCAACGAACAGCUUCACCAAAGCAUUCCAGAUGUUCUGCUCAUAUUACCUGCACAACAUUGACUACCCAGUGGAACUUGCCGCUACUCUGGAGUUCUUGCAGA